GAUGAACGCUGGCGGCGUGCCUAAUACAUGCAAGUCGAGCGACCAGACAAGGAGCUUGCUCUUCUGACGUUAGCGGCGGACGGGUGAGUAACACGUGGAUAACCUACCUAUUAUACUGGGAUAACUUCGGGAAACCGGAGCUCUAACCGGGCAUUAUAUUGACCCGCAUGGUCCAAUAGUGUACGACGGUUUUGCUGUUACAUAUAGCUGGAUCCGCGCCGCAUUAGCUAGUUGGUAAGGUAACGGCGUACCAAGGCAACGAUGCGUAGCUGACCUGAGAGGGUGAUCAGCCACACUGGAACUGAGACACGGUCCAGACUCCUACGGGAGGCAGCAGUGGGGAAUAUUCGACAAAGGGCGAAAGCCUGACGGAGCAACGCCGCGUGGGUGAUGAAGGUCUUCGGAUCGUAAAGCUCUGUUAUUAGGAAAGAACAGAUGUGUAAGUAACUAUCCACGUCUUGACGGUACCUAAUCAGAAAGCAACGGCUAACUACGUG
rnacentral:rRNA from 1 species